CCUACGGGUGGCAGCAGUGGGGAAUAUUGCGCAAUGGGCGAAAGCCUGACGCAGCGACGCCGCGUGAGGGAUGAAGGUCUUCGGAUCGUAAACCUCUGUCAGCAGGGAAGAACGGUCACUGUGCUAAUCAGCAGUGAAUUGACGGUACCUGCAAAGGAAGCACCGGCUAACUCCGUGCCAGCAGCCGCGGUAAUCAGGAGGGUGCGAGCGUUAAUCGGAAUUACUGGGCGUAAAGCGCUCGUAGGCGGUAGGUCAAGUCAAGGGUGAAAUCCCCGCGCGCAAGGUGGGAACUGCCUGUGAAAGUGGCAAACUUGAGUGUGUGAGAGGAUAGUGGAAUGCCAGGUGUAGGAGUGAAAGCCGUAGAGAUCUGGAGGAACAUCAGUGGCGAAGGCGACUAUCUGGCACAUAACUGACGCUGAGGAGCGAAAGCGUGGGUAGCAAACAGGAUUAGAUACCCCAGUAGUC
rnacentral:rRNA from 1 species